AUCAGCAAUAGUUGCUGGUUGGUGAUGAUGGUUUCACUGUUCUGAUACCAUGACGAUCCAAUUUUGUGAUUGUCUUCCAUUAGAAAGGGGCCAAAGAAGAUAACUACUAAUAAGUAACACGAUGUGUUUGAUUCCAGAAUUUCUAUGCUGAUGUUGGCACUUUGAAUAUGACAUUGUAUUUUUAAUCUUUUAAUUUAGUUAAUCUUUUAAGCAUUUGUUCCAGAUACAUUCUUGAAUAUGAUUGUUCUAAAUGCGCUCUUAUUGUGGUUUGUUGAAUAACUAAAUCUCUUUGAUAUUAUCACUGACUUCCAUUGUGAAUUUUUUGGAUAGACAACAGGCCUAAGCUUGUUGCUGGUUCAGCUAAAGGUUGGAGCGGUCAUGUUGAUGGCAAACCACGUGAAGCAAGGAUGAACCAUCCAACAGGGCUCACAGUCGAUAGCAAGGGUAACAUUUAUGUUGCUGACACAAAGAACAAAGCAAUUAGGAAAAUCGUUGAUGGCCUAAGCAUGUCAUUUUGUAACUACAAAUAUUGUAACUUUGUGAGCUCAAGUUCAUCGAAUUUGUUAUUGUUCUAUUCUGUGCAAUCAAAACGGUCCUUAUUUAUCAAUCAUGUUUUAAUCACUUUCUACAUGCCAGGUAGCGUGUGAAUAAUGUUCAAGCUUCAGCAAGAUGAUUUCCCAGUGGAUACUCAUGUUUUUCGGAUAAUGAGGGGCAUUGGUUGGAUCCCCAUUAAAGCAAACAGAGAACAAGCAUAUAUCCACCUCGAUAAUAGAAUACCUAAUCAUUUGAAGUUUGACCUGAAUUAUCUUCUUGUAACUCAUGGAAGAUUUUUGUCACAGGUGUUCUGUUAGAAGAGGUAAUUAGAACACGGGAGAUGGUCCACAGGUUUCCUGCCCUCUCACUCAGUACUGUAAGAAUACAACGAAAUAAGCUAAUCAUUUCCAGCUUGCAUCUCUAUAAAUCUACAUCACCUGCUAUCUUUCCCAUAAAUAUUAUGAGUGAAGCACUGAAGCUACAGUAGUUUAUCCUUAUGUUGGUUGCAACUUCUGCCUUCUUUAAUUGCCUGAGCUGUAACACAUUGAACUCUACCUAGUCUGUACAUCUGCUUGUCAUAGUUGGGCCUCAUUGGUCAUCUCUUAGGGUGCUUGAAUAGUCUUUGACCUAAAUGAAAGUUACUGAAGAUGAACUCAUGAAACUGUACUAUGAUAAUUAGCUAUCUUGAAAUAUUGCUUUGAAUAUAGCGCUCCAUGAAUACAUGUAACAUACUGAAGUUGGUUGUCCCUUUGUGAGUUUAAUAUCCAUGAAUACAUUUAACAUACAUUUAACAAUCGAGUUUAAUAUUCUUGAAAAUUUUCUGUUCAACUCUUAUUCAUUGGCUUGUCUUUGUCUAUCAUAGAGCUUAGCAACUAACUCAUAGGCAAUCCUUUGCUUUUGGUUCUAAAGAAGAUAUUUUCUGAUAUUAUCAACAUUGUUAAUACUUGCUUACAUCACUACCCACUCAUUAUAUUCUCUUUUUUUGACCAAAAUUAGGUUGUGUACCUUUAAGUCACUCUCUUGUCAUCUGCAUUUAUAAUAUUCAUACUUCUUUUCCUCUUUGAUUCACACUCAUGUGUGUGAUUAUGCAAAUAGCUGCAUAAGUACUAUUAUUUCUCUAACUUUACUAGGUACGAGGCCAAUCAACCUGCCGUAGUAGACCAGUGCUUCAAGAUGUUAAGCAUGGUACAUAACACAGGGGCAAUUCAUGAGGAUUGAGAUUUUUGAUGCAAGGAGUGAGCUUUCUUUAGUUUCUAUAUGGCCUUGCUUAUGCGAAGAAGUCAUUUGACGAACUGGAAAACAUGUGAUUUAUGGUUUGAUACUACUAAGUUUAAUGAGUGUACAACUCUUUUUGUAUA